rnacentral:rRNA from 1 species
AACGAACGCUGGCGGCGCGUUUUAAGCAUGCAAGUCGAGCGGCAGCAGCAAUGCGAGAGCGGCGGACGGGUGAGUAACACGUGGGUAAUCUGCCCCCCUGUCGGGGAUAGUCUGUGGAAACACAGGGUAAUACCGGAUAAGAUAUUUCUAACAAAAGAUAGGGAUAGGAAAGGCGCCAAGGCGCCGCAGAGGGAUGAGCCCGCGUCCCAUUAGCUUGAUGGUGAGGUAAACGG